rnacentral:rRNA from 1 species
CCUACGGGUGGCAGCAGUGGGGAAUAUUGCACAAUGGGGGAAACCCUGAUGCAGCGACGCCGCGUGAGUGAAGGAGCGUUUCGGCAUGUAAAGCUCUAUCAGCAGGGAAGAAGAAAGACGGUACCUGACUAAGAAGCCCCGGCUAACUACGUGCCAGCAGCCGCGGUAAUACGUAGGGGGCAAGCGUUAUCCGGAUUUACUGGGUGUAAAGGGAGCGUAGACGGCAGUGCAAGCCAGAAGUGAAAGCCCGUGGCCCAACCCCGGGACUGCUUUGGGAACUGUGCGGCUGGAGUGCAGGAGGGGCAGGCGGAAUUCCUGGGGUAGCGGUGAAAUGCGUAGAUAUUAGGAGGAACACCGGUGGCGAAGGCGGCCUGCUGGACAGAAACUGACGUUGAGGCCCGAAAGCGUGGGGAGCAAACAGGAUUAGAUACCCGAGUAGUC